UACAGAGGUCUCGAGCGUUAGGCGGAAUCACUGGGCUUAAAGCGUGUGUAGGCGGGCGGGCAAGUACCUUGUGAAAUCCCACGGCUCAACCGUGGAACGGCUGGGUAUACUGCCUGUCUUGAGCCAGCUAGGGGCGACCGGAACAGACGGUGGAGCGGUGAAAUGCGUAGAUAUCGUCUGGAACGCCAAAGGUGAAAACAGGUCGCUGGGGCUGAGCUGACGCUGAGACACGAAAGCCAGGGGAGCGAACGGG
rnacentral:rRNA from 1 species